rnacentral:rRNA from 1 species
AAUCAACGCUGGCGGCGUGCCUCAGACAUGCAAGUCGAACGCGAAAGGCUCCUUCGGGGGCCGAGUAGAGUGGCGCACGGGUGAGUAACACGUAGGUAAUUUGCCUUUGGGUGGGGAAUAACAGUCGGAAACGACUGCUAAUACCGCAUAAUGCAGCGGCUCGACAUCGAGACAGUUGUUAAAGCGGGGGAUCGCAAGACCUCGCGCCUGAAGAGAAGCCUGCGGCAGAUUAGCUAGUUGGUAAGGUAAUGGCUUACCAAGGCGACGAUCUGUAACCGGCCUGAGAGGGCGGUCGGUCACACUGACACUGACAUACGGGUCAGACUCCUACGGGAGGCAGCAGUCGGGAAUUUUGGGCAAUGGGCGAAAGCCUGACCCAGCAACGCCGCGUGAAGGAUGAAAUUUUUCGGAAUGUAAACUUCGCAAGAACGGGAAGAAUAAGUAGAAGCUAAUAUCUUCUAUGAUGACGGUACCGUUUGUAAGCUCCGGCUAACUCCGUGCCAGC